rnacentral:rRNA from 1 species
AGGGUUUGAUCCUGGCUCAGAAUGAACGUUGGCGGCGUGGAUUAGGCAUGCAAGUCGAGCGAGAAGUUUCCCUUCGGGGAUACGGACAGCGGCGAAAGGGAGAGUAACAUGUGGGUCACCUACCCCUGAGUACGGGAUAGCUGCGGGAAACUGCAGGUAAUACCGUAUAACAUCUCAGGAUCAAAGCUCCGGCGCUUGGGGACGGGCCCGCACACUAUUAGCUUGUUGGUAAGGUAACGGCUUACCAAGGCAAAGAUGGUUACCGGGUGUGAGAGCAUGGCCCGGCUCACUGGGACUGAGACACUGCCCAGACACCUCCGGGUGGCUGCAGUCGAGAAUCUUCGGCAAUGGACGAAAGUCUGACCGAGCGACGCCGCGUGCGGGAUGAAGGCCUUCGGGUUGUAAACCGCUGUCAGAGGGAAGGAAAUAGAAAUUUGACCGAUCCUCAAAGGAAGUACGGGCUAAGUUCGUGCCAGCAGCCGCGGUAAGACGAACCGUACAAACGUUAUUCGGAAUCACUGGGCUUAAAGGGUGCGUAGGCGGUCUAAUAAGUUGGGUGUGAAAUCCCUCGGCUCAACCGAGGAACUGCGCUCAAUACUGUUAGACUUGAGGGAGAUAGAGGUGAGCGGAACUGAUGGUGGAGCGGUGAAAUGUGUUGAUAUCAUUGGGAACACCUGUGGCGAAAGCGGCUCACUGGAUCUCUUCUGACGCUGAGGCACGAAAGCUAGGGGAGCGAACGGGAUUAGAUACCCCAGUAGUCCUAGCUGUAAACGAUGAGUACUAGAUCGGAGGACUUUCCACAGUUUUCCGGUCGUAGCGAAAGUGUUAAGUACUCCGCCUGGGGAGUAUGGUCGCAAGGCUGAAACUCAAAGGAAUUGACGGGGGCUCACACAAGCGGUGGAGGAUGUGGCUUAAUUCGAGCCUACGCGAAGAACCUUAUCCUGGUCUUGACAUGCUUGAGAACCGUCUCGAAAGAGACGAGUGCCCCUCGGGGAGCUUUUGCACAGGUGCUGCAUGGCUGUCGUCAGCUCGUGUCGUGAGAUGUCGGGUUAAGUCCCUUAACGAGCGAAACCCUUGUCCCUAGUUGCCAGCGAGUCAUGUCGGGGACUCUAGGGAGACUGCCGUAGUUAAUACGGAGGAAGGUGGGGAUGACGUCAAGUCCUCAUGGCCUUUAUGAUCAGGGCUGCACACGUCCUACAAUGGCAUGUACAAAGGGAAGCAAACUCGCGAGAGUAAGCAAAUCCCAAAAAAACGUGCCUUAGUUCGGAUUGCAGGCUGCAACUCGCCUGCAUGAAGUCGGAAUCGCUAGUAAUCGUAGGUCAGCAUACUACGGUGAAUAUAUUCCUGAGCCUUGUACACACCGCCCGUCAAGCCACGAAAGUGGGGAGUAUCCGAAGUCGCUGAGGUAACCCGCAAGGGAGCCAGGCGCCGAAGAUAAGCUCCGCGAUUGGGACUAAGUCGAAACAAGGUA